GCCUACGGGACGCAGCAGUGGGGAAUAUUGGGCAAUGGGCGCAAGCCUGACCCAGCAACGCCGCGUGAAGGAAGAAGGCUUUCGGGUUGUAAACUUCUUUUAUUCGGGACGAAGAAAGUGACGGUACCGAAUGAAUAAGCCACGGCUAACUACGUGCCAGCAGCCGCGGUAAUACGUAGGUGGCAAGCGUUAUCCGGAUUUAUUGGGUGUAAAGGGCGUGUAGGCGGGAAUGCAAGUCAGAUGUGAAAACUCAGGGCUCAACCCUGAGCCUGCAUUUGAAACUGUAUUUCUUGAGUGCUGGAGAG
rnacentral:rRNA from 1 species